CUGCGCGACAUGUGGCCGAAGGGGUGGGGCCUGGGCUGUCGCGAAACCCCUAACGCUUUACGUAGACCUACGCACGGACGAGGGGCAAGGCCUGAGUCCCUGACGGGGUCUGUGGAUUCGCGACUUCCUGUCGGUGGGAGAGAGAGGAAGAGAGAAACAUCAUGAUGUGAGGGAGAAACAUUAAUCAGCUGCUUCCUGUAUGGGGCCCUGACAAGGGAUCAAACCUGCAACCUUUUGGUGUACCAGUGGAGCCUCCAACCAACUGAGCCACCGGGUUAGGCCCGACUGGGUGCGAUUUUAGAUUGCCUGCUCAGGGAAGGCCUCUGAGGAAGUGACAUUUAAACUAAGAUCUGAGAAUUACAACAGCUAGCUCUGAGAACAUCUUUAGGAGGAGCUUUAGGAGAAGGCAGAGGAUGCAGAGCUAGAUCAAAAGUUCCGAGGCAGGAACAUCUUGGCAAGUUGAAGAAUUUGAAGGCUGAUAGUUGGGGUAUGGUAAGGGAGGAGUAUAAAAUGAAGUUUGAAAAACUUCUAGAGGCCCUGCUUUCACUCUCUUGGGACCUGCCAUCACCAAGUACAGAACAUAGGCUCUUCUGCUGGAGAGCCACAUGGAGGAGAACCGAAGCAUCCUGGCUGACAGCCCCAGCCAACCACCCUGGUUGUGAAUGAGGCCAUCCUGGACCAGGAUGGUCCAGGUGACUCCAGCCACAUGGACAGCCACAUGAACAGCCACAUGAACAACUUCAGAUGAGACCAGCAGCAGAAUUGCCUGGCUAAAAACUGCAGAUUUAUGAGUAAAUGGUUAUUGUUUUA